rnacentral:lncRNA from 1 species
GCCUGUCAAGAGCCGUUUUCUGUUGCUCCAACCUGAAGCCUCUCCAGGGUUGAGCACACUCCAUCAGUGCACCCUGGGAUUUGACUUUGUUUGUGAGAAAGCCGUUUCUAGGCUGUGCAUACACAUAGUGACAGAGGUGCAUGCUCACGCAACAGGAUGAAUGUGACACCCAAAUAAACUGUUAACACCUAUUUUUAUUUACACAAUUGCAUGCUUUUCAUAGGCACACAAACGCACAAAUAUGCACUGCAUGUUACCUUUGGAGAAACAAAAGGUGGGGCAUGUAAAACCCAUCCCUUGUCCUUCACUUCAUUAGUGAACACCAUGCAAGCACCACAAGUUCCUCCCCCUGUUAAAGCACACACACAAACACACAUGCACACUUAAUGCUGCAAUCCUCUUUGUGAAAGUGACACGCUUCUGUCAGAAACAGAGCUUAACUGAAGUGAAACAGGGAGAGAGAGAACCAGGCUCAUUCAAUUUCUGCCUGUCUGCCAUCCGGUUAACUACUGUACUGUCCUGUCUGAGGUUCUGUGAUCUGGUUUUUCUUUCAGGUUGAUCAGUGGGACCACGUCUUGGAAGCCUCUCAUCUUGGACAUUUGAAAUUUGGGAUUGUCAGCUGUUGAUCAAAAUCUCAACUACAUCUGAAUUGCUGCAGGUAACCUGCUUUGCACUCGCACAACUCUACAACUUUGGCCUGUGGUUUGGAAGAUGCUAAUAGCUUAUGCAAAUUGGAUACAAAUCUAACUGAGGACUCACAUAUCCAGCGCUUAUUAUUUUUUUUGAUUUUGUAGUCUUUUAAACUUUGUGGAAGAGUUUGAAUCCAAAGUAUAACCUGGUGUAUGAGCAAAAAGCUGUGACUGUGAAGUGGUCUCAGGUGAAGGGGGCGAGACAACAAUCAGGUGUUUUUUGGAAGGGUGAGUAGGGCUCAAACAGAGCCACGGUGGAGGACCACCUGCUGGAUUUCGCUGAUAUGGACGUGCACGGGUAUGACCGCUAUGCAGAUGGGGAUAGGGACAGCUACCAGAUUGAUUACCGGCGUAUCGUGGGGGACAUGGAGCCGGCCAGGCCACAGAUGACAUUACGAGACUCAGAUCAUCACUUUUAUGGCCCGUUUACCCAUAAUACACUGCAUGGGCAUGGGCAUGGGCAUGGGCAUGGGCACGAGACAGCUGCCCAGCGCUACAGUGCCACCCGGAUACAGGCAGGAUAUGAACCAGAAAGAGUCGGCCCUCUCGGCAGAUGAGAAGAGAAUUUUAACGAAGGAUUACAUUGAUAGAGCACUCUUUAGGUCUAAUCUGCGGUUUAGAGUAUAAAUCCCACUAGGAAAGAACAGCACGUCUGUGUAUGUUGAGAGGGCAAGAUUAAAUGUCUAUCAGGAAUAGAUUCAGCUGAUGGACAUAAUCACUUAGAGUCAUCUGGGUGUUAGAAGCUGCCUCUAUGUUAAACAAGGCUUUAAAUGAUGAAUGAAGCGAUUUCAUACGUUAAAUGCAGUGCUGUUCUAGUGCAAAAUGUAUUACAAAUCCCAUGUUGUAAUCAAGAAUUCAUUGAUCAAUGAAUGAUUUUGCAAUUUACAAUAAAUGAUACAAACCACUUAAGUCCUCCUAGUUGACAAAAAUACAACACUCUCAGGGAAUUAAAUUAUUUUGUUUGAUAGGUGCAUUGACAUCUUAAUUUUUUGCUCAGAAAACAUAACUAGUCUACCUGAAGAUGUGGCAUAAAACAAACGGGCAUUU